rnacentral:rRNA from 1 species
GGCGGACGGGUGAGUAACGCGUGGGUAACCUACCUCAUACAGGGGGAUAACAGUUGGAAACGACUGCUAACACCGCAUAACAAGUUGGGACCGCAUGAUCCUAACUUCAAAUAUUUAUACGGUAUGAGAUGGGCCCGCGUCUGAUUAGCUAGUUGGUGGGGUAAUGGCCUACCAAGGCGACGAUCAGUAGCCGGCUUGAGAGAGUGACCGGCCACAUUGGGACUGAGACACGGCCCAAACUCCUACGGGAGGCAGCAGUGGGGAAUAUUGGACAAUGGGGGCAACCCUGAUUCCCAGCGACGCCGCGUGAGUGAAGAAGUAUUUCGGUAUGUAAAGCUCUAUCAGCAGGGAAGAUAAUGACAGUACCUGACUAAGAAGCCCCGGCUAACUACGUGCCAGCCGCCGC